UGUUUCAUUCGUCCCUCCUGGUUGGGACAGUUGAAACAACAUAAGGGGACGAAUGAAACAUACCGUUUAAGCCAUAUACACGUCCAACAACUUCGACAUUUUACUACAUAUCAUGAAUGAACGAGGUGAGCAGAGCAGAGGAGGAUCCCUCACCGUUGACGACACAGGCUCCUGGAACUCCGGGCUCAGCUCAUGGCAGAAGAGAUAGAGC